CAUAUACUUGUAAUUUUUCUAUCGCAAAAAAGAAGAAGCUGCCGUCGAGUGCGCACGUGUUUGCAAAGUGAUUUUGAAAUAUGAAAACUUGGAAAAAUAUUAUUUUUACAUUGUGAGCCGUCAAAUAUAUGACUUAUGUAUGUAUUAAUACGUAAAAAUGCGUUGUUCGACUUUAUAUUGAAAUUGUGGAUGCACACGCAAAACCAAGCCGACGCCUUUGGAAUAGAAAAAACCGAACCAAGACGAGACAACGCACUGGGGGGAAUAUAUACUAUUUAUAGAUUUAAAUAUAAAUAUUUUCAUUAUGUUAUUAUUUAUAUAUCACAUUUGUCUAAGCAAAUAUAUAUGAAU